UACGUAGGGGGCAAGCGUUGUCCGGAUUUAUUGGGCGUAAAGAGCGUGUAGGCGGCCAGGUAGGUCGGCUGUGAAAACUCGGGGCUCAACUCCGAGCUUGCAUUCGAUACGGGCAGGCUAGAGUUCGGUAGGGGAGACUGGAAUUCCUGGUGUAGCGGUGAAAUGCGCAGAUAUCAGGAGGAACACCGGUGGCGAAGGCGGGUCUCUGGGCCGAUACUGACGCUGAGGAGCGAAAGCGUGGGGAGCGAACAGG
rnacentral:rRNA from 1 species